rnacentral:rRNA from 1 species
ACGGGAGGCAGCAGUGGGGAAUAUUGCACUGGGCGAAAGCCUGAUGCAGCAACGCCGCGUGAGGGACGAAGGCCUUCGGGUUGUAAAUCUUUUAGUAGGGAAGAAGCGAAAGUGACGGUACCUGCAGAAAAAGCACCGGCUAACUGUGCCAGCAGCCGCGGUAAUACGUAGGGUGCAAGCGUUGUCCGGAAUUAUUGGGCGUAGAGCUCGUAGGCGGUUUGUCGCGUCUGCUGUGAAAACCCGAGGCUCAACCUCGGGCCUAGUGGGUACGGGCAGACUAGAGUGCGGUAGGGGAGAAUGGAAUUCCUGGUGUAGCGGUAAUGCGCAGAUAUCAGGAGGAACACCAAUGGCGAAGGCAGUUCUCUGGGCCGUAACUGGCUGAGGAGCGAAAGCGUGGGGAGCAAACAGGAUUAGAUACCCUGGUAGUCCACGCCGAACGUUGGGCGCUAGUUGUGGGGACCAUUCCACGGUCUCCGUGACGUAGCUAACGCAU